UAAUAAUGAGGGCGUAGCCUGUAUGACCUAAACACUUCCCCAAGAAACAAAUUGCUUAACACUGUUACAGUUUGGCAGACACAGUGAAACCAUAGCAAUAAAAGAAGUAUUUCUUCCGACAAGUCAUUUCAUAGCUACAACGUGGAAACUAAGAGUUUCCUUCUAUUUUAUUUUCUGUAGCCUGAGGACUAGCGUGGAGAAGGUUUAGCCUUUAGGAGGUCGUGGUUGCUGCUGCUACUUCUGUUAAAUGUUCCAGGACUUACUCCAUUUGGCUCCAGGACCGUACCUGCCCUUCUAAGGACAGCUUUGCUUCAGUGAC
rnacentral:lncRNA from 1 species